GAUGAAGAACGUAGCGAAAUGCGAUAAGUAGUGUGAAUUGCAGAAUUCAGUGAAUCAUCGAAUCUUUGAACGCACAUUGCGCCCUUUGGUAUUCCUUAGGGCAUGCCUGUUCGAGCGUCAUUUAAACCUUCAAGCUCAGCUUGGUGUUGGGUGACUGUCCGCUUCACCGCGGACUCGCCUCAAAAUUAUUGGCGGCCGGUACAUUGGCUUCGAGCGCAGCAGAAACGCGAACUCGGGCCCGUCGUAUUGGCUCCCAGAAGCUAUCUUCACAAUUUUGACCUCGGAUCAGGUAGGGAUACCCGCUAAACUUAAGCAUAUCAAUAAGCGGAGGA
rnacentral:misc_RNA from 1 species